GCGGGCAGCCGCCAGGGCGAGGCGACCCGGUGCGGGGGGACUCCCAUGGAGCGCGGACUCCUAAGGAAGUCGCUGGGAAUCCCACCGGCUGUACCGCAGGGCGUUAGUACCUAGAUGGCUUCGGUGCCCCCAAGCGAUGGGCUCAAGCUACAGGGCGGGCUUUGCACCUGGCCUUCUCAGCUCUGAGGCAGGCAGUGGGCAGCUUCGCCUCCACCCUCCGUCCAGCGCCCUUCCCAUGGGGCCAUCCGCCUCUCCCUAAGGCACUAAAAACCAGUGGAGGAGUCAGGCCAUGUUGGCAAAAAGGGCUCGGGCAGCAGCCCCAGACCUAUAGUCCUAAAUAUCCAUGUACCCAGCCCUGGGGUCGCGAGCCAUCUCAGGGACGACCCGAUUCCAGCGGAUGGAGAAGUUCCCUGAAAACACCUGCCUGGGAGGAGAGACGAGGGAACGAGAUUGGACAGUGCUUUACCAUGGAACUGAAACCAUGAAAAGUGAAACUGCAAAUGGGAGAGACUGCUGUAUAGUCACUGAAAAAUUAAUGGAUGAGCUCAACAGCAAAUUAGACACAACUGAAACCUUGGACCCAUGUGUGGAAGAUGACAGCAUCACCAACUGGAGGGUGCCUGGAUCCCUGAGUCACCACUUGAAGCAAAAAGGUCAAGAGUAGCCACCUGACCCAUAUCAGGCUAUGAAAUGAGCAGCAUCUGGUUGCUACAGCAACCCCAGCUCUGCAGGGUGUCCCGAUUACCAGCAGGCUCCCUGCACCUGCCUCAGGCUGAGAGCAGGCGGCUGCCGCCAAGGGGAACACCAAGGAAAUGCCCAUGUUCUGAUUCCAAGGUAAUGGCUCAGACCCAAGGGGAUUUUAUCUGUUCAAUGUGCAACCUGAUGAAGUUUUGUCCCAUGUUAAUAAUUUCAUUAAAAAUAUGGCCUUACAUCCUA
rnacentral:lncRNA from 10 species